rnacentral:rRNA from 1 species
UACGUAGGGGGCUAGCGUUGUCCGGAAUCAUUGGGCGUAAAGAGCGUGUAGGCGGCCCGGUAAGUCCGCUGUGAAAGUCGGGGGCUCAACCCUCGAAUGCCGGUGGAUACUGUCGGGCUAGAGUGCGGUAGGGGAGAUUGGAAUUCCUGGUGUAGCGGUGGAAUGCGCAGAUAUCAGGAGGAACACCGAUGGCGAAGGCAGAUCUCUGGGCCGUAACUGACGCUGAGGAGCGAAAGCAUGGGGAGC